rnacentral:lncRNA from 1 species
GGGUUUAGGGUUUACGAUUUAGGGUUUAGGGUUUAGUAUUUUGCUGAUGGCGUUAAAAAUAUUUUUUUAAUUUUUUUUUGUAACUAGUAUUAUUUAUUAUUUAUUUUUACUUUGUUAUUUUAAAAUCAUGAUAUAAAUUGACAAUACUUCGUUUUCUUUUCUAAAAGAUACUAAAUAUGAAAUAACUAAUUUCUAUUGGUUGGUGAACCCAAGAAUAACUCAAUGAAAUAUAUGCUUCACCUUCCACUACAAGAAAACAGCGGCAUACUGAGGAAAAAAAUCGUCGGUAUG